UCGGGAUUGGUUAUGUUAGCAUGUGCUGGGAGCUUUCAAAAGUGGAAAAGGAUCCAGGUCCUACAGCCCAUAUAAGAGGGUAAAGAAGAUCAGGGAUUUUUGCUGUGGUGUCUUCAGCUGGAAAGCAAGCAGAAGGGAGUUUACGGUAAAAGAAGAGAGAAGUACAUAGCAAAGGGGGAUGAUGGGAUAUUUACAAGCCAUAAAGGAAGAGGAAAGGCCUGAUAGUCAGUAAAGUAUAAGAGAAAGAAGAAAUCAGACAAGUACAAGGGGUAUAAGCAAAGAAAAUGCAGAUUAAAAGGGAAAAAGA